rnacentral:rRNA from 1 species
GGAGUUAGCCGGUGCUUCUUCUGUGAGUGAUGUCCUUCCUGCCGGCUAUUAACCCGCAGGCCUUCUUCCUCACUGAAAGUGCUUUACAACCCGAAGGCCUUCUUCACACACGCGGCAUGGCUGGAUCAGGGUUGCCCCCAUUGUCCAAUAUUCCCCACUGCUGCCUCCCGUAGGAGUCUGGGCCGUGUCUCAGUCCCAGUGUGGCUGAUCAUCCUCUCAGACCAGCUACGGAUCGUCGCCUUGGUGAGCCGUUACAUCACCAACCAGCUAAUCCGACAUAGGCUCAUCCGAUAGCGCGAGGCCCGAAGGUCCCCCGCUUUCCCCCGUAGGGCGUAUGCGGUAUUAGCCUGGGUUUCCCCAGGUUAUCCCCCACUACCGGGCAGAUUCCUAUGCAUUACUCACCCGUCCGCCGCUCGCCACCAGGGAGCAAGCUCCCCGUGCUGCCGCUCGACUUGCAUGUGUUAGGCCUGCCGCCAGCGUUCAAUCUGAGCCAGAAUCGAACCCUGA